ACGGCGAGUGAAGCGGCAACAGCUCAAAUUUGAAAUCUGGCUCUCGGGCCCGAGUUGUAAUUUGCAGAGGAUGCUUUUGAUGAGGUGCCUUCCGAGUUCCCUGGAACGGGACGCCAUAGAGGGUGAGAGCCCCGUCUGGUUGGACACCGAAUCUCUGUAAAGCUCCUUCGACGAGUCGAGUAGUUUGGGAAUGCUGCUCUAAAUGGGAGGUAUAUGUCUUCUAAAGCUAAAUACCGGCCAGAGACCGAUAGCGCACAAGUAGAGUGAUCGAAAGAUGAAAAGCACUUUGGAAAGAGAGUUAAAUAGCACGUGAAAUUGUUGAAAGGGAAGCGUUUACGACCAGACUUGGCCCGGUUGAUCAUCCAGCGUUCUCGCUGGUGCACUCUGCCGGUCCAGGCCAGCAUCAGUUCGCCCCGGGGGAUAAAGGCGGCGGGAAUGUGGCUCCUCCGGGAGUGUUAUAGCCCAUCGUGUAAUACCCUGAGGCGGACUGAGGUUCGCGCAUCUGCAAGGAUGCUGGCGUAAUGGUCGUCAACGACCCGUCUUGAAACACGGACCAAGGAGUCGUCUUCGUAUGCGAGUGUUCGGGUGUCAAACCCCUACGCGUAAUGAAAGUGAACGCAGGUGAGAGCUUCGGCGCAUCAUCGACCGAUCCUGAUGUUCUCGGAUGGAUUUGAGUAAGAGCAUACGGGGCCGGACCCGAAAGAAGGUGAACUAUGCCUGUAUAGGGUGAAGCCAGAGGAAACUCUGGUGGAGCCUCGCAGCGGUUCUGACGUGCAAAUCGAUCGUCAAAUAUGGGCAUGG
rnacentral:rRNA from 1 species